rnacentral:rRNA from 1 species
AGGCAGCAGUGGGGAAUAUUGCACAAUGGGCGAAAGCCUGAUGCAGCGACGCCGCGUGAGGGAUGACGGCCUUCGGGUUGUAAACCUCUUUCAGCAGGGGAGAAGCGAAAGUGACGGUACCUGCAGAAGAAGCGCCGGCUAACUACGUGCCAGCAGCCGCGGUAAUACGUAGGGCGCAAGCGUUGUCCGGAAUUAUUGGGCGUAAAGAGCUCGUAGGCGGCUUGUCACGUCGGUUGUGAAAGCCCGGGGCUUAACCCCGGGUCUGCAGUCGAUACGGGCAGGCUAGAGUUCGGUAGGGGAGAUCGGAAUUCCUGGUGUAGCGGUGAAAUGCGCAGAUAUCAGGAGGAACACCGGUGGCGAAGGCGGAUCUCUGGGCCGAUACUGACGCUGAGGAGCGAAAGCGUGGGGAGCGAACAGGAUUAGAUACCCUGGUAGUCCAUGCCGUAAACGGUGGGCACUAGGUGUGGGCAACAUUCCACGUUGUCCGUGCCGCAGCUAACGCAUUAAGUGCCCCGCCUGGGGAGUACGGCCGCAAGGCUAAAACUCAAAUGAAUUGACG